rnacentral:lncRNA from 1 species
GCUGAGCCCAGCCAUGGGUUUGUACCCUCAAAUACCUAUGAGUUGGGUAAAUUCCUCUCCUCUUGAGGUCCUAAGAUAACCUGGGGCUCUGAAGCCUGUCAGAAAGUGACAUUCUUUACUUACCAGAGAUCGGGAACCCUAUACAGGGGCUGUGUAGACAAGGUAUGGAACCCUAUACAGGGGCUGUGUAGACAAGGUAUGAGGUCAGUUUUCCCAAGGGGCUUUUAUUGACUGUCUAAGUCAAGUUUGAUUCCUUAAAGAAAAGCAUGCCAUUCCAGUCAAAACCUCAGUAAAAUAAACAGUUUCUCUAAUUGUGCCCUGUUACAAAUGAAAAUAGAUGUUUAUUGUACUUCUGCAAAUAACUAUAUUAACAUAAACUAAGAAUACUUACAAUCUCCAAAUUCUAGAGAAAUCAGGUAGAAAGAAACAAAUGUGCCCCAAAUUUUUUUCACAGGAGUAUACUUUACUCAAUUGUUAAAAGCUGUAAAUAGCUCAAAGGAAAAGUUCUCUUGACUCGGAAACACAAAACAAAGAAUCAGCAAUUUUUAAAGCAAAAAGUCAAAACAGAUUCCAGUCUUCUGUUCGUUCAUUCUAUUCAGCUAACUCCCGUUCUGCUGAUAUUCAUGAACAUUUCAGCUUCUCAUGGGUUUUUUUCCUCUAUUGUAAUGUCACGAUCUCCAAAGUUACCAGAAAACCUACAUUUAGGAACAUCUUUUAGAAUUCGAUAGUUGAUUAUAAACCACCUUAUGAAGAGAUUAAAACAAGACAGCAGUUGUCUGUGAAUGACAAAAAGUCUUAGGACAGCCACAGUCAUAAACACAAUUGAGGCCAGGCGCGGUGGCUCAUGCCUGUAAUCCCAGCAGUUUGGGAGGCCGAGGUGGGUGGAUCAGUUGAGGUCAGGAUUUCGAGAGCAGCUUGGCCAACCUGGUGAAACCCCGUCUCUAUUAAAAAUACAGAAUUAGCCGGGUGUGGUGGCGUGUACCUGUAAUCCCAGUUAUUCAGGAGGCUGAGGCAGGAGAAUCACUUGAACCUGGGAGGCAGAGGUUGCAGUGCCAAGAUCACACCAUUGCAUUCCAGCCUGGGCAACAGAGCAAGACUCUGUCUCCAAAAAACAAAACAAAACAAAAACAAAAA